GACGAACGCUGGCGGCGUGCCUAAUACAUGCAAGUAGAACGCUGAAGGAGGAGCUUGCUCUUCUGGAUGAGUUGCGAACGGGUGAGUAACGCGUAGGUAACCUGCCUGGUAGCGGGGGAUAACUAUUGGAAACGAUAGCUAAUACCGCAUAACAGUAGAUGUUGCAUGACAUUUACUUAAAAGGUGCAAUUGCAUCACUACCAGAUGGACCUGCGUUGUAUUAGCUAGUUGGUGGGGUAACGGCUCACCAAGGCGACGAUACAUAGCCGACCUGAGAGGGGGAUCGGCCACACUGGGACUGAGACACGGCCCAGAAUCCUAAGGGAGGCAGCAGUAGGGAAUCUUCGGCAAUGGACGGAAGUCUGAACGAGCAACGCCGCGUGAGUGAAGAAGGUUUUCGGAUCGUAAAGCUCUGUUGUAAGAGAAGAACGAGUGUGAGAGUGGAAAGUUCACACUGUGACGGUAUCUUACCAGAAAGGGACGGCUAACUACGUG
rnacentral:rRNA from 1 species